UCACCGUUACUGUCAAGAAUGAUUGAACAUGGCUGCGCUAGCCAUCUACAGAGUUCAUCACUCGGGUACAAAAUGUACUAGCACAUUACAAUUUGCUUAUUUUUUGUUUUGUUUCAGGAUUGAGUUUUUCGAAAUCUAUGGCUUCAGAUGGGAUUACUUUCGGAGGUGUUGGAUUAGAAAAUUAUUUGUAAAUAAUGUGCGAAAUUCCUCCAAAAAGACAUAAGCAGUAGAAGGCAGAAAAAUUUUAUAGCCGAAAAAUUCCCCACAAUCGUUCGGAUUUUUUCGUUCUUGAUGUGUAUGCCUUGAAACAUUAAAAGAGGAAUGAAAACAUUGACCCAGGACUUCGACCCAGUCUUAUGAACUAGAUCUAAAGUAUGCCUAGGCAAUACAAGAAUGCAAGAUAAA